rnacentral:rRNA from 1 species
GACAGGGGAUGGAAGCGUUAUCCGGAAUGAUUGGGCGUAAAGCUUCUGUAGGUGGCUUUUUAAGUCUGCCGUCAAAUCCCAGGGCUCAACUCUGGCCAGGCGGUGGAGACUACUAAGCUGGAGUACGGUAGGGGCAGAGGGAAUUUCCGGUGGAGCGGUGAAAUGCGUAGAUAUCGGAAAGAACACCAUGGGCGAAGGUACUCUGCUGGGCCGAAAAUGACUCUGAGAGACGAGAGCUAGUGGAGCAAAUGGG